UCCGGUAUGGUGUAGUGGCUAACAUCGCUCGCUCUCAACAAGCGUUGAUUAAACCGAGCAGCCCUGGGUUCGAUUCCCAGUACCGGAG